CAGCCACUGGGAGAGACUGGAUGUCCCUGGGGGACCAAAGCGCACUAUUGGAGCUGACCCUGAUCUGUCUCUUCUUUAUGACAUGCCAUGUCUUCAUAAGCAUCAGGAACCAGGUCUGUCUUGGCUAUUAAUGUAUCCCCAGUUCAUGCAUAACAGACCCACAAGGGAAAUUAGUGAACUAGAAAAGCUUGAACGAAAGAAGCGUGUGUAUAGACCGCAUGGCCUUGAGAUGAUUCAUUUCCAGCUGUGUGUCCCUGCUGAUUCCUGAAAUUACAUGGCAAGAUGCCACCUCAAAAUCUGGAAAGAUGAGUGAAUUCAGACAGUCACAAAUGAGAUCUGCUUACCAGGAAAAGCUGCUAUAGCCAUAAACUGAUUUAAUAUCUUGUGACAUGUUACAUUUGGGGUGCCAGAUGAAAAUGUAUAUUUGAGUAUUAGCA